CGUGUCGUGAGAUGUUGGGUUAAGUCCCGCGACGAGCGCAACCCUUGAUCUUAGUUGCCAGCAUUCAGUUGGGCACUCUAAGGUGACUGCCGGUGACAAACCGGAGGAAGGUGGGGAUGACGUCAAAUCAUCAUGCCCCUUAUGACCUGGGCUACACACGUGCUACAAUGGACAGAACAAAGGGCAGCGAAACCGCGAGGUUAAGCCAAUCCCACAAAUCUGUUCUCAGUUCGGAUCGCAGUCUGCAACUCGACUGCGUGAAGCUGGAAUCGCUAGUAAUCGCGGAUCAGCAUGCCGCGGUGAAUACGUUCCCGGGCCUUGUACACACCGCCCGUCACACCACGAGAGUUUGUAACACCCGAAGUCGGUGAGGUAACCUUUUAGGAGCCAGCCGCCGAAGGUGGGACAGAUGAUUGGGGU
rnacentral:rRNA from 1 species